UUUCCGUAGGUGAACCUGCGGAAGGAUCAUUACUGAGUGAGGGCCCCUCGGGGUCCAACCUCCCACCCGUGUUUAACGAACCUUGUUGCUUCGGCGGGCCCGCCUCACGGCCGCCGGGGGGCAUUUGCCCCGGGCCCGCGCCCGCCGAAGCCACCUGUGAACGCUGUCUGAAGUAUGCAGUCUGAGACAAUUAUUAAAUUAAUUAAAACUUUCAACAACGGAUCUCUUGGUUCCG
rnacentral:misc_RNA from 1 species